rnacentral:rRNA from 1 species
CGACCGGCGCACGGGUGAGUAACACGUAUCCAACCUGCCGUCUACUCUUGGACAGCCUUCUGAAAGGAAGAUUAAUACAAGAUGGCAUCAUGAGUCCGCAUGUUCACAUGAUUAAAGGUAUUCCGGUAGACGAUGGGGAUGCGUUCCAUUAGAUAGUAGGCGGGGUAACGGCCCACCUAGUCUUCGAUGGAUAGGGGUUCUGAGGGGAAGGUCCCCCACAUUGGAACUGAGACACGGUCCAAACUCCUACGGGAGCAGCAUG